rnacentral:rRNA from 1 species
CUGAUGGCGACCGGCGCACGGGUGCGUAACGCGUAUGCAACCUACCUGUAACAGGGGGAUAACACUGGGAAAUCGGUACUAAUACCGCAUAACACUAUGAGAGGCAUCUCUUGUGGUUGAAAGUUUCGGCGGUUACAGAUGGGCAUGCGUUGUAUUAGCUGGUUGGUAAGGUAACGGCUUACCAAGGCGACGAUACAUAGGGGGACUGAGAGGUUAACCCCCCACAUUGGUACUGAGACACGGACCAAACUCCUACGGGAGGCAGCAG